GACGAACGCUGGCGGCGUGCUUAACACAUGCAAGUCGAACGGUAAGGCCCUUCGGGGUACACGAGUGGCGAACGGGUGAGUAACACGUGGGUGAUCUGCCCUGCCCUUCGGGAUAAGCCUGGGAAACUGGGUCUAAUACCGGAUAGGACCCUGGGAUGCAUGUCCUGGGGUGGAAAGCUUUUGCGGGGUGGGAUGGGCCCGCGGCCUAACAGCUUGUUGGUGGGGUGAUGGCCUACCAAGGCGACGACGGGUAGCCGGCAUGAGAGGGUGACCGGCCACAAUGGGACUGAGAGACGGCCCAGACUCCUACGGGAGGCAGCAGUGGGGAAUAUCGCACAAUGGGCGCAAGCCUGAUGCAGCGACGCCGCGGGAGGGAUGACGGCCUUCGGGUUGUAAACCUCUUUCAGCACCGACGAAGCGCAAGUGACGGUAGGUGCAGAAGAAGGACCGGCCAACUACGUGCCAGCCGCCGCUGUAA
rnacentral:rRNA from 1 species